AUACGGAGGGGGCUAGCGUUGUUCGGAAUUACAGGGCGUAAAGCGCGCGUAGGCGGAUUGAUCAGUCAGGGGUGAAAUCCCGAGGCUUAACCUCGGAACUGCCUUUGAUACUGUCAAUCUUGAGUUCGAGAGAGGUGAGUGGAAUUCCUAGUGUAGAGGUGAAAUUCGUAGAUAUUAGGAAGAACACCAGUGGCGAAGGCGGCUCACUGGCUCGAUACUGACGCUGAGGUGCGAAAGCGUGGGGAGCAAACAGGAUUAGAAACCCUAGUAGUCC
rnacentral:rRNA from 1 species